GACGGAAGGUGCAAGCGUUGCUCGGAAUCACUGGGCGUAAAGGGUGCGUAGGCGGCUUGGUAAGUCGGGUGUGAAAGCCCCGGGCUCAGCCUGGGAAGGGCACUCGAAACUGCCGAGCUGGAGUGCCGGAGGGGAGAGUGGAAUUCCUGGUGUAGCGGUGAAAUGCGCAGAUAUCAGGAGGAACACCAAUUGCGAAGGCAGCUCGCUGGGACGUUACUGACGCUGAGACGCGAAAGCGUGGGGAGCAAACAGG
rnacentral:rRNA from 1 species